rnacentral:rRNA from 1 species
AACGCUGGCGGCAUGCCUUACACAUGCAAGUCGAACGGCAGCACGGGUGCUUGCACCUGGUGGCGAGUGGCGAACGGGUGAGUAAUACAUCGGAACAUGUCCUGUAGUGGGGGAUAGCCCGGCGAAAGCCGGAUUAAUACCGCAUACGAUCUACGGAUGAAAGCGGGGGACCUUCGGGCCUCGCGCUAUAGGGUUGGCCGAUGGCUGAUUAGCUAGUUGGUGGGGUAAAGGCCUACCAAGGCGACGAUCAGUAGCUGGUCUGAGAGGACGACCAGCCACACUGGGACUGAGACACGGCCCAGACUCCUACGGGAGGCAGCAGUGGGGAAUUUUGGACAAUGGGCGAAAGCCUGAUCCAGCAAUGCCGCGUGUGUGAAGAAGGCAUUCGGGUUGUAAAGCACUUUUGUCCGGAAAGAAAUCCUUGGCCCUAAUACGGUCGGGGGAUGACGGUACCGGAAGAAUAAGCACCGGCUAACUACGUG